rnacentral:rRNA from 1 species
AGUGAACGCUGGCGGUAGGCCUAACACAUGCAAGUCGAACGGCAGCACAGUAAGAGCUUGCUCUUACGGGUGGCGAGUGGCGGACGGGUGAGGAAUACAUCGGAAUCUACUUUUUCGUGGGGGAUAACGUAGGGAAACUUACGCUAAUACCACAUACGACCUACGGGUGAAAGCAGGGGAUCUUCGGACCUUGCGCGAUUGAAUGAGCCGAUGUCGGAUUAGCUAGUUGGCGGGGUAAAGGCCCACCAAGGCGACGAUCCGUAGCUGGUCUGAGAGGAGGAUCGGCCACACUGGAGCGGAGACACGGUCCAGGCGCCUGCGGGAGGCAGCAGUGGGGAAUAUUGGACAAUGGGCGCAAGCCUGAUCCAGUCAUACCGCGUGGGUUAAGAAGGCCUUCGGGUUGUAAAGACCUUUUGUUGGGUAAGAAAAGCAGCAGGUUAAUACGCCGCUGUUCUGACGGUACCCAAAGAAUAAGCACCGGCUAACUUCGUG